ensembl:misc_RNA
CAGAAGAGGUACAGUAUAGGCAGAUUCUGUGCAAGCUUCCUCACAUCAUCCUGCCAAUGCACUUUAACCCUGAGCUGGAGAGACUACCUUUAAA